CCUGCUGGGUCGUCCCCGCUGCCUGUACGGCCGCAGGAUGUUGCGGAGCCGAAACCAGUGUCUUCUGAGCCCGAACAUCCGGAAGAGAGGCCUCCUUCUCCCAUAAUCAGAAAGUCAACACGUUCACGAAAGCCUCCUGAACGCUAUGGCUAUGAAUAGACUGAAUUAGCAAUAUAUAAAUAUUCCUUUUGUACUGCUGCUAACCUUUCACGAAAUAUUCGAUUGUAAGACUAUAUGAUAGAUUGACAAUCGUAGCAACAAAAUUUAGGAGGGGAGAAUGUCGUAAUAAAGAACUAGUGCGUGACGUCAUGUAGCAAGUUGUAAUGUGGUCCGGCUGCGACUAGGUGUUGUCAGUCUCUAUGCAAUAGCCAGUACGAAUGGACCUGACCCCUGCUGUUCUAUGAUGUAACUGGGCAUUUGUUCAGUAAAGCUUGGAUUGCCCAAG